GAACCUUUCUCUGUGUUCUGUUAGAAAACUAUAUCUGAGGAAAGCUACACAAGCAGUGGUUCAGAGACCCAGAGAUGUACCUUAAGUUCCUAGAAGAGACACAUGAAAAAAUCUAAAAUCUUCAGUCAGGUUCCAGGUUGUUCAUCUACGCAUUCUACAGGAGCAAUGUUAAAUACCGGUAUGAGGUUUUCAACAAACAAAUGCAUUCAAGGCCAGGCUAUUAAGACUUGGAGACAUCAGUGUCUACAGAAGCAGCAAAGUACUUUGAAGUGUGUUUGUGAAGUUAGUGCAACUUGGAUAUCAUAAUAUCUAUUUAGUGCUAACCUGUGAAGCAUUUUUUUCUAUGACUAACAUUAUUGCAUUUUAUCUAUUUGAAAGAAUGAAUAACUCAGUCAUUAGAGAUUUUGAAACUUAGCACAUGAAAUAAACUGCUUUUUAAGGAAAA